rnacentral:rRNA from 1 species
GGGCCCGCACAAGCGGUGGAGUAUGUGGUUUAAUUCGAUGCAACGCGAAGAACCUUACCAGGGUUUGACAUCCUGCGAAUCUCUUGGAAACAGGAGAGUGCCUUCGGGAACGCAGUGACAGGUGGUGCAUGGCUGUCGUCAGCUCGUGUCGUGAGAUGUUGGGUUAAGUCCCGCAACGAGCGCAACCCACGUCUUUAGUUGCCAGCAUUUAGUUGGGCACUCUAGAGAGACUGCCGGUGAUAAACCGGAGGAAGGUGUGGAUGACGUCAAGUCCUCAUGGCCCUUACGGGUUGGGCUACACACGUGCUACAAUGGUGGUGACAAUGGGUUAAUCCCAAAAAGCCAUCUCAGUUCGGAUUGGGGUCUGCAACUCGACCCCAUGAAGUCGGAAUCGCUAGUAAUCGCGUAACAGCAUGACGCGG